rnacentral:tRNA from 2 species
GUCAGGAUGGCCGAGCGGUCUAAGGCGCUGUGUUCAGGUCGCAGUCUCCUCUGGAGGCGUGGGUUCGAAACCCACUUCUGACA